rnacentral:rRNA from 1 species
AGGACGAACGCUGGCGGCGUGCUUAACACAUGCAAGUCGAGCGGUAAGGCCUUUCGGGGUACACGAGCGGCGAACGGGUGAGUAACACGUGGGUGAUCUGCCCUGCACUUCGGGAUAAGCCUGGGAAACUGGGUCUAAUACCGGAUAUGACCUCCUAUCGCAUGGUGGGUGGUGGAAAGAUUUAUCGGUGCAGGAUGGGCCCGCGGCCUAUCAGCUUGUUGGUGGGGUAAUGGCCUACCAAGGCGACGACGGGUAGCCGACCUGAGAGGGUGACCGGCCACGACUGGGACUGAGACACGGCCCAGACUCCUACGGGAGGCAGCAGUGGGAAUAUUGCACAAUGGGCGAAAGCCUGAUGCAGCGACGCCGCGUGAGGAUGACGGCCUUCGGGUUGUAAACCUCUUUCAGCAGGACGAAGCGCAAGUGACGGUACCUGCAGAAGAAGCACGGCUAACUACGUGCCAGCAGCCGC